rnacentral:rRNA from 1 species
GACGAACCGUGCGAACGUUGUUCGGAAUCACUGGGCUUAAAGGGCGCGUAGGCGGGCUAGCAAGUCCGGGGUGAAAUCUUUCGGCUCAACCGGAAAAGUGCCUUGGAUACUGCUGGCCUGGAGUGAGGUAGGGGCCGCGGGAACUUCCGGUGGAGCGGUGAAAUGCGUUGAUAUCGGAAGGAACGCCGGUGGCGAAAGCGCGCGGCUGGCCCUCAACUGACGCUGAGGCGCGAAAGCUAGGGGAGCAAACGGG